GGCUUUGCACAAGAGGACAUGCAUACGUACCAAUGAAUAUGAAUGAAUCAGAGACAUGCACGGGCGCAAGCUCGCCGGUCCUCCAUUCCAUGCAUGCAUAUGCAUGGCGGCUCCAGUCCAUCCGUCGUGCCAGGGGCGCCCUUAUACACUGAAUCCGUUCGUGUCUCAUAACAAAUUAUCAGUGAACAACAAUAUUUUCAGUCAUAGCUUUUCAGCGGCCUAGAGAUGAGACGGUCCACGGAGAACGGGUCGAGGGGCGACGACUAUGCUGGACACGGAAGAGAGCUAGCGCCAUUGACGUGCGCCAAUCAGGGGAACGACGAGGGAGCCAUGUGCAGGUUAGCUUUGUUAUUUUGCUCCUUUAAUUUUACGUUGGUGAUGGGCACCCCAAGUACAAGUUUUUUUUCUAUAUAGUUUGUUCCGUACGUUGAGAUUUGGCACGCACAAGAUCGACACUGUAUUGACCAGCUGCAACGACGACGACGCAGGCAGACAGACAGACAGACACGAUCUACUACUACAAAAUGUUAGUAGGUUUUUGUGCGCGCGUGCAUGGACCAUAGUAUUCUCAAUGUGAGUACAAGCUGACAGGCACAUGACUACAAGAUAAGCACAGCAUUGCUAUAGAUCUCCUGCAUCGCAAUCGCCACUUUCCAAAAGCCAUGCAUCCAGAUCAGCGCCGGCCGCUUCCAUUAUCAACUCGCGAUAACUAACCUUUACUCGAUUGAUCGCCAGCCAUCUAGAUUGAGCGCUUGCGAUCGAGCACACAUAUAGGUAGCCACUCAACAAAAAAGUCCAAUGUACUGUAGUACGCUCGUUGAAAGGAAAAAGAAGGAUCGGACAAAGUCGACCGUAUAUUCGACCUUUGCCCAGCUGGGGUCCACACCACACGCAGCAACAAUCCAUGCUGGCAAUGGUUAGGAGCAGGAGCCAGGAGGACUCGGAGGCAGGCGGCUCUCACUCACAGCUCAGCAUGGCGCCCCACACCUGGUGACCAAAGGCAGGGGUUGCGGGUCACAACUGACAAGAGGUGCGGCCACACUCCAAGAAAAUAUUCACCGUAGAUCGUCCACGGAACAAAGCCGCGGAGAUGAUGUUGUUGCUUGAAUAAUUUUCUACCGUCUCUUCUCCGUUUUAUUGUAGUUAGAUUUAACCAUAAUAAAGAACUAGAGAAAAUAAUUUUCAGAUUAGUCAUCCUUACUCUUCGGUGACAGAAAAAAGAAGAAAGACGACAUCAGAAAGAAGAAGUUCCUCAAUUCCGCCUUCGUUCGUUGGGCAUUUGUUCUCACGUCAUUUGCCAAGUGUUUGCCUAUGCAGUCAUCCAUACUGCAAAUCAUCUAACAAGUUAGGUUUUGGUUUUGAGUUAUGUUUUACACAUCGUGAGUACUAUAUUGUAAUCCAAAGUGCUUAUAACGAAAAAAAAACUCAUGAGGCACGGGGGACACUGCACGUAGGUGCGUGGAGGCUCAUGCUCACCCUCAAUUCUAUUUCUAUCCCAUCGGGACCAUGGCUUUACACGUUAGUAUUUUUUUUCUUCUUCUUCACACUUGCACGUACCUUUGACACGCGCGCACUCCCAGGCCAAAAAAGGAAUGGAAACCAAACUGUUGGGAAAGAACACUUAACAGUAGUUUAUACUGUAUUGUGUCGUGGCAAUUGUGGUGAAUGGACUGUAGUGGCAUUGUGGCAAGGCAAAUAAAGAGAUGUUACAACUGCACAAGUGGCUGGCCACAUGCACAGACGGGGAUCUUUAUUUUGGGCCCAAUGCACCACUAGACGCUGCUGCUGCCCUUUCAGGCUUCAUUAUUCAGCUGACACUAACAGGAAGGAAUAAAUCUGAUCUAAAUCCCAUAGGGACAGCGGUGAAUUGGUGAUCGAUCGAUCAAAUGCGUAUAACGCACAUGCAAAGAGCCAAAGAUGAAGGGCUCAUGAUUCUUGGAUCAGUCUAUGAUUGCUGCUGCCUUUUGUAGGACAGGAGACCGUACCCUGCACGAUUUCAGUGUGAUUGGACGAUGAGCAAUUUGUUUUUCCUCUUUAAUUUUGUCCGCUAGGGGAUAAGGAUGAUUUGCCAUGGAGCACGUGGGGCCUACACAAAAAGUAUGUAAGCCAUGCUCUUUGAUUCUUUCUGCCUAGAAUUCUUUCUUUAUGGAAAUAUUAAUGUUCCAGCACAUACUGUACACGGAUACAUCGUGGAAUAUUCUCAUCAAAACUCUGAUCCGGCGGAGCGACAUUUCUAACGACAUCUCUAUUAAGUAUAGUACUGCCGUACAAAUAUGGUGGAAGAAAGACACUACUGCUUUCGGCAUGCACCCGGCUAUUGUGGUCGGUAGGUUUGAAGACUCAAGAGUGGUUACGGUUCUGUGAAAGAAGCUUGCAAACAAAAGAAUGGAGUAGUACUACUAGCUAGGAGUAGAUCACUGAACUGAUGGAACUCUUUCACUUUACCUUUCCCUUUCUGGUAGAAGCACAACAGCUGGAAGAUUUACCCUAGCUAGCUAGCUACUAGUACCCACCAAGUCCUCGAAUGAGUGAUGGCGGGGUGAGGAGUGAAUUAUCACCCUACUCGAUUGACUGAAAAAUUAUGAUAAAAAGUAUUAUUUGUUGAUUUAUUAUAAGAGUAAAAUACUAAUAAACUUGGCUAAUAAAUUCAAACGAACAAGGCAGGACUGUACUCCGUAGAUGACAUGGACUGUAAUAUGACAACUAAUAACUAUCUUCACUGUAAAUGGUGAUCAAAUGCUCUGUUUGAAUCUACCCUACUAAUAAUUAGCUGCUACAGUUAAUUAACUAGGAUAAAUCAAAUAUGACAGCUAAUAACUAUCUUCGCUAGCUGAAUAAAUAUAGCUAACACCACCUAAUAAGGCCUUGUUUAGUUCAUGAAAUUUUUUAGGGUCGGCUACUGUAGCACUUUCAUUUGUAUUUAGCAGUUAUUGUCCAACCAUAGACUAACUAGACUCAAAAGAUUCGUCUCACAAAUUACAGACAAACUAUGCAAUUAGUUAUUUUUUAUCUAUAUUUAAUGUCCCACGCAUGCUUUCAAAGAUUCGAUGUGAUGAAAAAUCUUGAAAUUUUUUUGAAACUAAACAAGGCCUAAAUUGAGAAACAAUGGACUGCCCUUGACACUCCCAACCUUAUCUAUGUUGUGCCUCGUCUCUGUCCACACGCACAUGUCCCAAUUCAAGCAUACUGCCGACUUGUCGCCUCCACCUCUCUUGUCACUAACUUCUACCAUUGCACUAUAUAUCCUUGCUAACUUCCGUCUUUACCUUUUUCCUCGCCAACCUCCUCUGCUGCAAACCCAUCUCUAUGCCAACUUCUGCCAUGAAAAUCAAAGACAAUGGACGUUAUGAGGAUGGCGGCAAAGACGAGCAAAGCAGUGAAAGUAACCCAUGAUUGAUGAUGCAUGACCACCACGUCCUAAGAAGAUGCUCAACCGGUAGAUCUCGUGUCAAUUUGUGUGACGACACCAUUGAGAGAUCAUGAAUGAGAAACUUUGUUGCUUGCUCCUCUUUGCAGGUGGAGAAGGGGCAUCAAUGGGUGGAUCUUCAUUGGGCUCGAGCUGAUCUUGGGGUCAAUGGUCUAUGCAUAUGGAGAAGAGGAGGUGGCUGAAUUUGACUAGAUGAGAAAAAAAGAGAGGCAAAGGUGCCUGAGAGAGGAAGAAUAGAGAGAGGGUAGCCAAUUAAUCUAGUCGUCUAGUAUUAGCUAAUGGACCCAAACAAACUUUAGCUAAUAGCUACACAAAUAAUAUGUAUUAGCUAUGAGGUAUUAGAUAGUUAGUUGUUAGCUGCUACUGGCAAUGAGCUAUGGUUCAAUUGAUGGGGGAGCCGGGAGCGGCGCUAGCUUAUAUAGUUGUCUCACCCUAUUCGUAUGUCCAACGUUCACA
rnacentral:lncRNA from 1 species